rnacentral:rRNA from 1 species
UGGGGAAUUUUGGACAAUGGGCGCAAGCCUGAUCCAGCAAUGCCGCGUGCAGGAAGAAGGCCUUCGGGUUGUAAACUGCUUUUGUCAGGGAAGAAAUCCUCUGGGUUAAUACCUCGGGGGGAUGACGGUACCUGAAGAAUAAACACCGGCUAACUACGUGCCAGCAGCCGCGGUAAUACGUAGGGUGCGAGCGUUAAUCGGAAUUACUGGGCGUAAAGCGUGCGCAGGCGGUUGUGCAAGACAGGUGUGAAAUCCCCGGGGCUUAACCUGGGAACUGCACUUGUGACUGCACGGCUAGAGUACGGUAGAGGGGGGCAUGGAAUUCCGCGUGUAGCAGUGAAAUGCGUAGAUAUGCGGAGGAACACCGUGGGAAGGCAAUCCCCUGGACCUGUACUGACGCUCAUGCACGAAAGCGUGGGGAGCAAACAGGAUUAGAUACCCUGGUAGUCCACGCCCUAAACGAUGUCAACUGGUUGUUGGACGGCUUGCUGUUCAGUAACGAAGCUAACGCGUGAAGUUGACCGCCU